rnacentral:snRNA from 1 species
AUCGCUUCUCGGCCUUUUGGCUAAGAUCAAGUGUAGCAUCUGUUCUUAUCAGUUUAAUAUCUGAUACGCCCCCUAUCUGGGGGCCAUAUAUUAAAUGAAUUUUUAGAACAGGGAGAUGGAAGAAGAGCUUGUUCUGUCCACUCCACGCAUUGACCUGGUAUUGCAGUACCUCCAGGACCGGUGCACCAAAA